AACGCACCUUGCACCCUUUGGCAUUCUGAAGGGUAUGCUCGUUUGAGUGUCAUUGUACUCUCACACUCUCAAUCCUUUGGGUUGGGAGUGGUGGACUUGGGCAUUGCUGCUUUACUGCAGCUUGCCUCAAAUGCAUUAGUGCAACUCCAGGUUGGACAUAGUACGGCGUGAUAAGUGUCUUCGCCGGCACCUCGCAAGAGGGUGACUGAUCAGGAGCUCUGUGCUUCAAACCGUCUUCGGACAAUCAUCUGACAACUUGACCUCAAAUCGAGUAGGACUACCCGCUGAACUUAA
rnacentral:misc_RNA from 2 species